CCAAUUUUAACCUCAAAAAAUUAGAUUGCCAAAAUUCUGAUGGACUCAAAUUUGUUAGAGCAGUGUCUCUAAAAUGUUUGGGACUGUCUUGAACCCACACAUAUAUAAAAACGAAGUCAACAAAACUACAUGGUGCUAACUAAAGUCUCUCUUUUGAAUUCAUUAAGCCACCAUGGUGAUGGCUAAGAAAAUCUUAAUCUCUGCAUUGGUUGAGCUCUCUAUCUAUAUAUGUCGGGAUGAGUAAGUGAGGGUGAGAAACAAAUUGUUUAUCAAGUUUAUGAAGUUAAUCAAUAUCUAUUAGAGUAGUGAUAUUUGUACAACCAUUUGUGACAACUUUCUUUUUCUUUCUUCUUAUUGGUCAAAAACAAUAGAGAGAAAGAGAGAAAAAAAAAAAAGGAAGAGAGAGGAUAAAAACAUAAUGUAUUAUGACAUACAAUUAAAAUUAUAUGAUUAGAUGUAACAUAAUUAUUUUUAAACAUAAUUAAUAUGUUCACCAGUACUCACAAAAAUUAUAAACACACUUUGAUACAUAAUAUAAUAUUGUUGGACAAUCAUCAUUCGAAUUGCAAAAAACGUCCUCCUUUGGAGAAUUACGGUUAGAGUUAUUGGGAAUGUCACCUGCAUUGUUAAAUAAGGAAAAAUUGGAUGUUAUUGAAGGGUGAUAAACAUUGUGUAUAAAAUCAAUUAUAAAUUUUUUAAAGGUUAUGUAAAUUGACAUACUUGUAUUGAUUACAACAAAAAAUUGAGAGAGAAAGAUGAUCAGAGCAUAAAUAAACAUGAACCUUUG
rnacentral:lncRNA from 1 species